AGCGAACGCUGGCGGUAGGCCUAACACAUGCAAGUCGAACGGCAGCACAGUAAGAGCUUGCUCUUACGGGUGGCGAGUGGCGGACGGGUGAGGAAUACAUCGGAAUCUACUUUUUCGUGGGGGAUAACGUAGGGAAACGUACGCUAAUACCGCAUACGACCUACGGGUGAAAGCAGGGGAUCUUCGGACCUUGCGCGAUUGAAUGAGCCGAUGUCGGAUUAGCUAGUUGGCGGGGUAAAGGCCCACCAAGGCGACGAUCCGUAGCUGGUCUGAGAGGAUGAUCAGCCACACUGGAACUGAGACACGGUCCAGACUCCUACGGGAGGCAGCAGUGGGGAAUAUUGGACAAUGGGCGCAAGCCUGAUCCAGCCAUACCGCGUGGGUGAAGAAGGCCUUCGGGUUGUAAAGCCCUUUUGUUGUGAAAGAAAAGCAGCAGGUUAAUACCCCGCUGUUCUGACGGUACCCAAAGAAUAAGCACCGGCUAACUUCGUG
rnacentral:rRNA from 1 species